ACCUAGUCCCACCACACCCCCAAGGGUAUUCAGCAGUGAUAGAUAUUGUCUAUAAGCGCUAGCUUGACCCAGUUAUAGAGAAGAGAGCCGGCCAACUUGGUGCCAGCCGCCGCGGCUAGACCAACUGGACUCAAAUUGAUAAUCCCCGGCGUUAAGCGUGAUUAAAGCCAUGAACAAAUUAGAGUUAAACCUACGUUGAGCAGUGAAAAGCACACGAUAGGGAAAUCCAAAAACGAAAGUUAUUCUAAUCCUUGCUUGAAUACACGACAGCUAGGACACAAACUGGGAUUAGAUACCCCACUAUGCCUAGCCGUAAACUAUUAACCUACACCCACCCGCGCCAGGGAACUACGAGCUUUAGCUUAAAACCCAAAGGACUUGACGGUGUCCCACCCAACUAGAGGAGCCUGUUCUAUAAUCGAUGACCCCCGCUCCACCCAACCCCCCCUUGCUUUAUCAGCCUGUAUACCUCCGUCGUAAACCCGCCGUAUGAAUGUACCCAAGCGGAUUUAAUGGUCCCACACCAACACGUCAGGUCAAGGUGCAGCCAAUGGGAGAGGUAAGUGAUGGGCUACAAUUUCUAGUCUAGAACAAACGAAAUUCUGCAUGAAACACAGUUAUGAAGGAGGAUUUAGUAGUAAAAAGAAAGUAGCGUGUUCUUUUUAACAUGGCCCUGGGACGUGUACACA
rnacentral:rRNA from 1 species